UUUCCACCUGGAUGUUGACUCAUAUCAAAUUAAUUCAGACAGUAGCCUGGCAUAGAACCCAAAGAGCAAGCAGAAGCAGACUGCAAACCCUUCCAAGAAGGAAGAAACCUAGAGAAACCCAGCUCAUAUCUCAACCUGCAGGUGAUUCACAGGACAAUAACAUUACAUCUAUAGUAUUAAACCCAGCUCAUAUCUCAACCUGCAGGUGAUUCACAGGACAAUAACAUUACAUCUAUAGUAUUAAACCCAGCUCAUAUCUCAACCUGCAGGUGAUUCACAGGACAAUAACAUUACAUCUAUAGUAUUAAACCCGGCUCAUAUCUCAACCUGCAGGUGAUUCACAGGACAAUAACAUUACAUCUAUAGUAUUAAACCCAGCUCAUAUCUCAACCUGCAGGUGAUUCACAGGACAGGACAAUAACAUUACAUCUAUAGUAUUAAACCCAGCUCAUAACUCAACCUGCAGGUGAUUCACAGGACAGGACAAUAACAUUACAUCUAUAGUAUUAAACCCAGCUCAUAACUCAACCUGCAGGUGAUUCACAGGACAGGACAAUAACAUUACAUCUAUAGUAUUAAACCCAGCUCAAAACUCAACCUGCAGGUGAUUCACAGGACAGGACAAUAACAUUACAUCUAUAGUAUUAAACCCAGCUCAUAUCUCAACCUGCAGGUGAUUCACAGGACAGGACAAUAACAUUACAUCUAUAGUAUUAAACCCAGCUCAAAACUCAACCUGCAAGUUAUUCACAGGACAAUAACAUUACAUCUAUAGUAUUAAACCCAGCUCAUAACUCAACCUGCAGGUGAUUCACAGGACAGGACAAUAACAUUACAUCUAUAGUAUUAAACCCAGCUCAUAACUGAACCUGCAGGUGAUUUACAGAACAAUAACAUUACAUCUAUAGUAUUAAACCCAGCUCAUAACUCAACCUGCAGGUGAUUUACAGAACAGGACAAUAACAUUACAUCUAUAGUAUUAAACCCAGCUCAUAUCUCAACCUGCAGGUGAUUCACAGGACAGGACAGGACCAUUACAUCUAUAGUAUUAAACCCAGCUCAUAACUCAACCUGCAGGUGAUUCACAGGACAAUAACAUUACAUCUAUAGUAUUAAACCCAGCUCAUAUCUCAACCUGCAGGUGAUUCACAGGACAAUAA